GAUGAAGAACGCAGCGAAAUGCGAUACUUGGUGUGAAUUGCAGAAUCCCGUGAACCAUCGAGUCUUUGAACGCAAGUUGCGCCCGAAGCCAUUAGGCCGAGGGCACGCCUGCCUGGGCGUCACACGUCGUUGCCCCCCCAUCUACUCCUUCGGGAUUGCGGGGGGCGGAUGAUGGCCUCUCGUGCGCCUCGUCGCGCGGUUGGCCUAAAUGCCAAGUCCUCGGCGACGCACGCCACGACAAUCGGUGGUUGCGAAACCACGGUUGCCUGUCGUGUGCGGUCGUCGCGCAUCGAGGGCUCGAAAAAAUUGCCGGGCUUCGGCUCGACUUUCAACGCGACCCCAGGUCAGGCGGGGUUACCCGCUGAAUUUAAGCAUAUCAAUAAGCGGAGGA
rnacentral:misc_RNA from 1 species